GAUUAACGCUAGCGGCAGGCCUAAUACAUGCAAGUUGAACGGGAUUUCGGGUAGCAAUAUCUGAAUGAGAGUGGCGCACGGGUGCGUAACACGUAUGCAAUCUACCUCUGACUGGGGAAUAGCCUUCCGAAAGGAAGAUUAAUACCGCAUAACAUAAUGAAGUGGCAUCACUUUAUUAUCAAAACUCCGGUGGUCAGAGAUGAGCAUGCGUCCGAUUAGCUAGUUGGCGAGGUAACGGCUCACCAAGGCAACGAUCGGGUAGGGGGUCUGAGAGGAUGACUCCCCCACACUGGUACUGAGACACGGACC
rnacentral:rRNA from 1 species